rnacentral:misc_RNA from 1 species
CCUCCUUAUAACGAAGUUACACUUACAGAGUGUUCACACAAAUAAUUAAUUACGAAGUUUUAAGAGAGCUCUAACCCAUGCGCACAGUAUGUGCUCAUCAGUUAGGGUUUCUAACCCGGACGUGUAAACGUCAUGCUCUUUAACAAUUUGGAAAGCUGAUAAAAUAAGGUAAACAUUAUUGUUUAUUUAAUUUGUUAUUCAACAAUUUAAAAAAAUAAUUUUGAUUAUCACUGUAAGAGAAAACUCAAGCGUUAUUUAUGUCAAAACGAACAUGCCUAUACAACAUGUCUCGUUAAUAAAUAUGACACAAAAUGAUGCAAUCGAGAAUGUGAGAACAUUUAAGGUUGUAUGGUUAAGUGAAUAAGCGUAUACGGUGGAUGC